AACGUAGGAGACAAACGUUAUCCGGAUUUACUGGGCGUAAAGGGCGUGUAGGUGGUUUUGUAAGUCUGGCGUGAAAUUUCCCGGCUCAACCGGGAGUGGUCGUCGGAUACUGCGGGACUAGAGGACGGUAGAGGCGUGUGGAAUUCCGGGUGUAGUGGUGAAAUGCGUAGAGAUCCGGAGGAACACCAGUGGCGAAGGCGACACGCUGGGCCGUACCUGACACUGAUGCGCGACAGCAUGGGGAGCAAACAGG
rnacentral:rRNA from 1 species